rnacentral:lncRNA from 1 species
GCCUCCCCAAAGCCCAGCAGAUUGAGAAUGAAACAAGAACAUUCACUAUGUGAACUAGAAACAGGAGAGGAUAUUCUGGCUCAUCAAGCAUGGAUAGCAGCAGGAAAUCUCCAGUUUUGGUCUGUGGGGACUUGGUGAGACAGACCAAAGUAGGAGGAAAAUGGUAGACCCAUGGCACAAAAUUGAGUGUCGUCUUAUGCUGAAGAUGUGAUGAACAAAAAAAGGAAAGAAGAAAAGAAGGGAACACAGAUAGCAAGCAGCAAGUGAAUGGAAUACUGCACAUCUACCUAGCCAGCAAGGGGCGCUCUCAGGAGCCUAUACCAGGACCCCUGAGUCCCAGCCUGCAGUGUCACAUACUGCCCCACUCCGCUGCCAGCGUUACUGCUGCAGUAAUCCUUUACCCUCUUCCUCCUGUCUCUGUUAUCCACUCACCUUACUUCUAUUCAUUCAAGUUCAUAAGCCUGCAUUUUGGGACCCUGGCAGUAAGCACCUGCAAGCACUAAUGAAGGCAACAAUUCAUAACCAAGAUUGUCCUUCAGAAUCGUCUAAAGGAUUUCAGUACACACGUGGACCAGAAGUCCAAGCCAGAGCUCCCAGAGAAGAAUUUUCAAGCACCCCCCUCCCACAAAAGUGGUGAGAGUAUCAUAGAAUAAAUCAUCACCAGGUAAGCUAGCUUGAGACA